GGCAACAGCUCAAAUUUGAAAUCUGGCCCCCAGGGCCCGAGUUGUAAUUUGCAGAGGAUGCUUUUGGCGCGGUGCCUUCCGAGUUCCCUGGAACGGGACGCCAUAGAGGGUGAGAGCCCCGUCUGGUCGGACACCAAGCCAGUGUAAAGCUCCUUCGAC
rnacentral:rRNA from 1 species